UUGUUUUGCUCAAUCUCUGGCGUGGACGGCAUCACUGAUUUUCAGGCCUUUUUUGAGACAUGAAGUCACGCACUCCUUAAAAUUCGAUUCCUUUAUUCCACAGAAUUCACUCGAGUGCAACCAAGGACACAGCCCGAGCGUUGGAUAGUGGUCGCCAUCUUUUACUUGUGGACUGUUAGAAUGACUGAAAAGCUAUUCACAUGUGCUUCUCCUGUUAUUUUGGUGAAAACGUUUCUCCAAAAAUUUCUUCCGUCCCUUUGGAAUCUCGCAAGUCCCGUAAAAAAAAUGAGCAGGGAUCCCGUCUACUCAAAAAGCCUAUUUCACAUAUUCAGACAAGAGUUUACGCCACCCUUUUCCCACUGAUCCGUGUGUAAAGUCUGCCUCACAGCCUGGCCGAUGCCACUCAAGUUCUGACCUGUAACUUUGACCCUCAGGUCAAAGAAAUCUUUCUCAAGAGGAUUUGAAGAGCUCCGGAUGGGAAAGUAACCCCCGAAUGCCUCUAACUAAACUCACGUCUCGGAUCUUAACCUCGCGGCCUCACAUCUGUUUCGAGGGAAAAAGGGCGUUCGGACUCAAACGGAAGGUAGAUUAUAAACUUCUGGUGUGCAUCAAAAGAUUGACCAGCAAAGCCUGAAGAUGUUUCCAUGUUCAAUGGCAUCAAAGUGACAGCAGCCUUGAUCACAUCCUGCACCUGAUGCCAAGAACAUAUGAAUGAAAAUGGAAGAACUACUCCGCACUUCUUCAAAAUAGUGCCAUUACAUCUUUUAUGUCUACCUGGGAGGACCGACAGGACCUUGAUGUGGCAGAUAUGGUGCUCAAGUGGAUGUUAAUCACAGAACCAGUUGCCUCAGCAGCAGGAGGGCCGCCAACGUGUAACAUCGCCUUCUCAUUGCUAUUGUACCGAGGUCUUCUGAUCUUGCUGGAGUGAUGACAGACUGUUACUUCUACUCAGGCAAGUUCCGAGUCAUCGGCUAUUAUUUUGACGAGGCACACUGAUUACAGAGUUGAAAGGUUAAAAGGCUAGGCCAGCAUUUAUUGCCCAUCCUUAAAUAACCCGAGGGCAGCUAAGAAUCACCUACAUUGCUGUGGGUCUGGAGUCAUAUGUAGACCAGAGCAGUUCUCAUUGAUAUAGCAUCUUCAACAAAGAAAAUAUCCCAAAUCACUUCAUAUGGUUGCAAUGAUGAAAAUGAACACUGGACCAAUAUGAAGAUGUUGAGGAAGAGUGCAGGUAAUCGGGAAGGUGACCUUUAUUGGACCAUAAUAAGGGUUUGCGUUGGUGGUAUAUCAAGAAUGCUCUCGUGUUGCCCAGAACUUAAUAGGUGAAAUACCAAAAAAUGAUUGCCACUGAGGAUGGUUCAAAAAGAUCCUAGCAUUAAGGAAAUCACCGCAGAAAGUGACUACAAAUUAAAUACUUCAAUAAUUGUUUAUAAACCCUUCCAUAACUUGGUAACCUCCUCCAGCAGGUCAAUACUUACAAGCAUUCCAUAUUCCACCAGUUUGUGUCUCUUAUUCAUCCUCUUUCUUUUUACAUCAAUCCAUCAUUGGCUGCUAUGCCUUGAACUUCCUAUGCUCUUAGCUCUCGACUUCCCUCUCUAAACCUUUCUGUCACUCUCUCCUCAUUUAAGAUGCUCCUGAAAAACUAUUUGACUAAGCUUUCACUUACCUGUCCUUAUAUUUCCUCAUGUGGCUUCGGUCAAAUUUUGCUUGAUACUCACACCAAUACAGCAGACAGUUUAAUAUGUUAAAGGUGCUAUGUAAAUGCAAAUUCUUGUUGCUCUUUUUCCAGUUUGUGUGCAUGGCCCAGAAAUUGUAUCUUGCUAUCAUCACAUCCACCACACUGCACAUCCCAAUUUGCAGCCACAAAUAGUUGCAAGGAGAAUCAGCCACUAGGAAUCUCACGGCUGUGUGAAUGAAUCAUGCUGGAAAUAUGUUACAACGUUAUUUACACAGUUUAGAUUCUACCUUGUGUGACUGGAUUUUGUUUUGAACCGUCACUGGAUGACAUCUGGAGACAACUUUUUAAUUCCAACAGACAAGAGGUGACAUGAAGUUUUCAAGUCCCUAAACUGUUUUUUUUAAGCUUCACAGCUUGAAUACUGUAAAAGCCUUAAGAAAAGGGGGUAAAACUGCAACUUCAUCAGUUUUAUUGCUUAAUUGCCAACGACCAGCAUAUUACGUGUGACCUCUGACAAUUUAAGAAGGGAGCUCAGAUUACACCAGAUUACCUGCAGCAAACAGAAAGCUCGGACUCAUUUUAAAACCAUACGGGAACAGAUGAUAACUUCAAACCAUAACAGAAAAUCUUCAGGGUCAAUAAGUAAGAUGCUUUAAGUCCACAUUUAAUCACACAAUCUCCUUAAGAAAAUCUCUUCAAGUCAAAUUUGCACUUUUAAAGCAAUCCCGAUGACUCAUUAAAUUUAAAGUCAAAACAGAUAGAGGCAUAUUGACGGUACAAAAGGCCCGAGGAUUCAUGCACAAGUCUGCACUGAACCAACUGAUCAAAGUUGGGUUUGCAGGCAGGUCAAGUGGCACAAUCGGCAACCUUGAUGGAAUCUUCCAGCCCAAAGGGCAGCAAGCCUGAAGACUGGAAGGUAGUGUAGGCAGUGUGGUGGUAUCCCAGGCAACACCAAUCUACCACCGUCCACCUAAAUUAAGUUCUGUGUGGGAAAAUCCAAGCUCAAAAUAACUGCUCCAUUGUCACCCGAGGCCUCCAUGUAGUCAAUUAAUGACCACAUGAAGACCACUUAAUCCAUUUCCACCUGUGUGGUAAUUAAUUCAUCCAGAGGGGUGUGUCAAAAGAAAAGUCUACCCAUCUGAAUUGUAAACCAGUGCAGGGAAGGGUAUCGACUGAGUAGAGAGGUCCUUCAAAACACACUGAUUUGUGCGCAAAUGAGGCUCUAAAUUUAGGGCAGAGGAUGGCUACUGAGAGACAUCUUCCAGUCCUUGCUUCCAGCACCGCUGACCCCAACCUCAGAAAUCCAUCCCAUCCUAAAAAAGCAAUUAGCUGACACCUUGGCCGUUUAAUGUUGGUUGUCUGCCUUCUGUAGCCUUCCCAAAUGCAUUUACGAAAAUGACAGCUGAGUCUCUGAUCAGCUGGCCACAUUUUCUGAUCAGAACAUUUGGUCCUCCACCUCCAGGGAAUUAUUUGGAGGAAGAUAUGCUAAGUAUUAUUUUCAAGGUUCAGCUUGGGUGAUAUGCCAGCCCUUCGGCAAGUGACUGAGCCAUCCAAUAAAACUUAAAAUUUUCACCUCCAAGCUAGAAAGAGGGAAUGAUAAGACAGUGUUUUUGUUCAUUUUCUUGAUCACUAUCCAUAACUUGUGCUGGAUGAGUGCAUGUUAGCCUAGAGCGAGUCACAGAAUCAGAGAAUGGAAUCAUAGAAUUCCAGACAUGACUGCAAGGCCCUAGUACUUGUAUAGCCUGCACGAACAUUAAUAAUGAUUAUUUGCAUUAUGACGGAGCAGGCAACUGAUGCCCAUGUAAAUAGGCCAGAAAAAGACAUUUGUACUUUGGUAGAAAUUGAGCCUGUGAUCCAUUUUACAGUUUUAAAAACAGUGCAACAAGGGUCAGUUCAGCAGUCAUUAAUCCUGAAACAUGAGUGCCAGAAACAAAAGUUGAAAUUGCCAGAAAAACACAUCAGGUCUGAUGGCAUCUGUGGAGACAAAGCAGAGUUAACAUUUCAGGUUCUGUGACCAUUCUUCAGAAUUGUUAGAAACUUGUCCUGACAUUGGGUUGGCUAUUGUUUGGGUGUAUGGGAACAACUCCCUGAAAUUGGUAUCAGUCCUUUACACAGAACACUGAGGGGGCUACAGCCCAUUUUAGAAUUCUUCUGGAUCGGCUAUGAACAGACCAGACACUGCAUUUGUUCUCCUCAGAUCCAGCUUGGAAGAAGAAGCAGCUGCUACCAAAAACAUAAAUUUGUUUUUUACACAGGUUUGGUAUGGAGGCAGAAAGAACAGGACUGCUACUGCUGGUCUCCAAAUGUCCUCCGCCCCAUUCCCUCCCACCGCAUAUUUCCUGCAUUCACCUGUGGGUUUCUGCUUGCAAAACACAGCCAAAAAUUGAUCUAUGGUAAUAGCAUGAGAUGGCUUGAAAUAUCAACAGACACCAAAAGCUUAACCAGUUUUUGAAAUGAGGCCUGAGGAUUAAUUUCACGUGAGAUUUGUGCCUUCUAGUCAGGAUCUGUGCGCCAUUGGUUACGUGCUUAUUUGAACUAAUUUGUAAUCCAAUGUUUUAAGGAGAGGAUAGAAGAAAAUAAGGCUUGUAGUUACUUCACAUCUAUGUUUAUAGGCCAGUGAUUGUGCACGGCAAGUAAUUCUCAUGAUCUAAAUCAAGAAAAUUCAGAAUACUAAUGAGGUAUUACCAUUUGCAAGAGUUGGUGCUGGACAGGUGGCUUGCUUAGCAGUGUGAUGCCAAUAGUGUGGGUUCAGUCCCCUCACUUGCUGAGUUACCAUGAAGGACUCUCCUCAACCUGUCUCCCCUCAUCUGAGGUAUGCUGGCCACAGGUUAAAUCACCACCAGUUGUCCCUCUCUAAUGAGGGAGCAGCCGUGUGGUCUGGUCAGACUAAUAUUUGCAUUUUCUUUGAAGUUUUGCUUUUCUUAAUUAUUUAAAGAGUUAAUCUUCAAUUGAACUGAGAUAAUACAGUGCUAAUUGUGGUAAAUCUAUCCCACUUGGCACUUUUUAUGCAUCAUUAAAGAAAUAAAAUCAAGCCACCAGGUCAGACUCUUUAUAUAUGAAUCUAACUCUACUUCCUUUUAACAAAAUCAUGCAGCUACUAAUCUAGGACAAUUUUGACCACUAUUCUAAAUGUUUGAAUAGUCAUUAUCACCAUCUUUUUUCUGUUCCCACAAUUUGAGUAUAUUGCAUGUAAUAGUCCAAAGAACUCCUUUGAUGCUUCAGAAAGUUAUCCUGUUGAACCAUAUAGACCUCAGUAAAUCCCAGAUUCAACAUCUGGAUCCUUGCCGAAUUCCUGGUCAGCUACAUCAUUGGUUUGAGGUUCCUUGGGUUAGGAGGAGAAAUAUUAGCAAAGAUCCCCAUUCCUCUUGGCAAUCCAUGUACAUUCUAUGAAGAAUGUACUUAUGUAUAGAAUUUGGUAAUAACUGGAUCAGGAUAACCUCAAGUAGGUCACUGAUGCUCACAUUAUACAUGCAUGAUUCAAAGGUUUCACUGUUUUUUGUUGGGGAGGAACAGCUGGUCUGAUCACUGGGUUUGCAGGCUCAAGCCAGUACAGUUGAGUCACAUCUGACUUCUGAAGUAACUUUGUCAGGUGUUUAGCUGCUUCAUAGUAGUGAUAGAAGAAGCAAGCCCAUCAUAACUUGUUCAGGGCAAGAAGGGAUGGAUAAUAAAUGCCAGCAAGGUAUCUCAAAAUGAAUUAAAGAAAGAUCCUGUUUGGCAUGCUCUUCAGAGAGUCGAUUUGGACUUGAUGGGCCUAAUGGCCUGCUUCCACACUGUAACAAUUAUAUGAUUCUAUGAACAGAACAGUUACUCUUAACAGGAGUUAAUAUCUUGGCUAAAACAGGGAAAAUUGAGACAGGAAAAGAAUACACAAACAUAUAUUAUGUUCAUAUGCAGGUUAAAUUUCAGGAAUAGAUUCUUUCUUUUCACUUUAAACAUCUUUCAUCAAAAAAAAAGACAAUUUGGCAUAAAACGUUUACACUGAGAGUGCAAAAAGGUUGUGGUAGUAGCUCUGAAGUACACAGAAUCUGACUGAAGUCCAGCAUGCCCAUUUAUGCUGCACAUCUGGUAAGUACUCCAACUUUUAGCCCAAGACUAGGCUUGUAUAUGGGCCAUUUUAGAACUUGCAACUUGAAAAGGGUUUACAAAAAAUGUUCUGAAGUUGCAAAUUAGCCGAACAAUUUUUUUGUUGGAGAUAGCAAGAAUUGUAGAUGCUGAAGUCAGAGAUAACACAGUGUGGAGCCGGAGGAACACGGCUGGUCAGGCACCAUCAAAGGAGCAGGAAAGUUGACGUUUCGAAUCGGGACCCUUCUUCAGAAAUGGGGAAGGAGAAGG